GAUGAACGCUGGCGGCGUGCCUAACACAUGCAAGUCGAGCGAAGCACCUUACUUGAUUUCUUCGGGAUGAAAGUAUUGUGACUGAGCGGCGGACGGGUGAGUAACGCGUGAGUAACCUGCCCUGGAGUGGGGGACAACAGUUGGAAACGACUGCUAAUACCGCAUAAGCCCACGGCCCGGCAUCGGGUUGAGGGAAAAGGAUUUAUUCGCUUCAGGAUGGACUCGCGUCCAAUUAGCUAGUUGGUGAGGUAACGGCCCACCAAGGCGACGAUUGGUAGCCGGACUGAGAGGUUGAACGGCCACAUUGGGACUGAGACACGGCCCAG
rnacentral:rRNA from 1 species